rnacentral:misc_RNA from 1 species
GAUGAGGAACGUAGCGAAAUGCGAUAAGUAAUGUGAAUUGCAGAAUUCAGUGAAUCAUCGAAUCUUUGAACGCACCUUGCGCCCUUUGGCCAUUCCGAAGGGCAUGCCUGUUUGAGUAUCAUGAACACCUCAACUCUUCAUGGUUUUCCGUGAUGAGCUUGGACUUUGGGGGUCUUGCUGGCCUAUGGUCAGCUCCUCUAAAAUAAAUCAGCUUGCCAGUGUUUGGUGGGUAUCACAGGUGUGAUAACUAUCUACGCUUGUGGUUUUCCACCAGGUAACCUUCAGCAGUGGAGGUUCGCUGGAGCUCACAGAUGUGUCUCUCCUCAGUGAGGACAGCUCUUUGAAUGUUUGAUCUCAAAUCAGGUAGGACUACCCGCUGAACUUAAGCAUAUCAAUAAGCGGAGGA